AUUCCUGGGAAUUCUGAUGUCUUGCCUGGGGUACACGUGUCAGGACUGUGUGCAUAACAACAAUACACCUGGGAAUCAUUUUAUUUCUCUCUAUAAAAUAUUUUAUCCAAGGGCUGGGGAUUUAGCUCAGUGGUUUCACUGCCUGCUGCGCAAGCACAAGGACCUGAGUGUGAUCCCCGGUACCAAAAAAAAAAAAAUUGUAUCCAAGCUGGGUGUAGUGGUGCAUGUCUGAAACCCCAGCACUGUAGAAAAUAAAGAAAGGGCUGGGAUGUAGUUCAGUGUGAAGGCCCUAGGUUCAAUCCCCAGUACUGCAAAAAUAAAUAAAUGAAGGACUGCAUAAAAUAUUUUAUCCAAUUGAGGUUUUGUUUGGAGUUGCAUUUAACAUAUGAAUUAAUUUAGAAUUAAUUAAUUUAAUUGUUUUGUUUGUUUGUUUGUUUGUUUUUUGAGACAGGGUCUUGCUAUGAAGUUCAGUCUGGCCCCGAACUCACUGUGUAAUCCAGGUUGGCCCUCAGCCUCCCAAAUGCUGGGAUUACACAUGUGCGUCGCCAUGCCUGGCAGAAUGUACAUUUUUUCUAUCUUUUCUCAUCCCUCGUCAUAUAUAUAAUUAUCCUUUUUCUUAUAUUAGUUACACACAAACCUUGUUAAAUUUGUUGCUUUGUGAAUUAGGUUUUAAAAAUUGAAUUUUUGUAAUGGUUAUUGCUUUCAAAUGUAUGUGUGAAUCUUAUAAAUAUCUACUUUAUAGAGCAAAGCAAUAACAAAUUAAAAAGAAUACUCAGACUUGAGCUUGAAUCCCAGCCCUGGUACUUACCAGAUGCAUGACCUUAUGAAAACUUUACUGUUUGGCAUAUAGGACUUCAAUAAAUGGUGGUUAUUUCUCUUCGAUUACCUUUUACUAUAAUUUUCUAUGAAUUCCUUUGGAUUUUUUAGUUACACAUAGUACAACCUAUAAUGAUAAUGUUAAUUUUUCUUUCCAGUAUUUAAAUCUCACAUCUAUUUCAUAUCUUAUUGCAUUGGCUAGAAAAACCCACAGAACAACGCUGUGUAAUUAUGUUAAUACAUUCUUCCCAGGGGAUGAGGUAUUAUUCUGAUUUUAGUCUGAUUUUCACUAUUUUUAAAAAAAUUUUAAGAAUAGAACUAAUUGUAUCUCCCCUAUGGGAUAUGAUGAGCUAUUAUAUGCAAAGUGCUUAGCAUUUCUUAUAUACAAUAAGGGCUCAAUAAAGUGUAGCUUUUAUUAUAUCAAGGCUUUUAACUAAUUCUGCCUGUAAAUAUCCUUUUUUUUCUAGUUUGUAAUUUCCAUUUCAAUUUAACUUACUGUAUGGUUUUACUCUUUUAUUGAUUAUAUAAUGCACUUUUUUCUGGGGCACUAUGUGAUAAUUUGAUACAUGAAUACAGUGUGUAAUUAGAGUGGGGUAUUGUGGUGUACUUAAAUUUAAAAUUGUCAUACAAAUAAAAUAUAUACCUUUUCCUUUAUAAUUUGUUUUCCCUCAGAGAUUCUUCCAUACUUUCAAAUAUUGAUCUGCUUUUCUUCUGGUUCUUUUAUCAUUUAAUGUUGUACUUUUUUUUUUUUUAAUGUGGUACUGAGAAUUGAACCCGGGGCCUUCAAACUGAGCUACAUCCACUAACCUUUUUAGGUUUUUUUAAAUUUUAUUUUGAGACAGGGUCUUGCUAAAUUG
rnacentral:lncRNA from 1 species